AAGAUAUUCGGCAGCACAUAUGCUAAAAUUGGAAUGAUACAGAGAAUAUUAGCAUGGCCCCUGCGCAAGAGUGACAUGCAAAUUCACGAAGCAUUCCAUAUUUUU